rnacentral:rRNA from 1 species
GAUGAACGCUGGCGGCGUGCCUAAUACAUGCAAGUCGAGCGAACAGAUAAGGAGCUUGCUCCUUUGACGUUAGCGGCGGACGGGUGAGUAACACGUGGGUAACCUACCUAUAAGACUGGGAUAACUUCGGGAAACCGGAGCUAAUACCGGAUAACAUUUGGAACCGCAUGGUUCUAAAGUGAAAGAUGGUUUUGCUAUCACUUAUAGAUGGACCCGCGCCGUAUUAGCUAGUUGGUAAGGUAACGGCUUACCAAGGCGACGAUACGUAGCCGACCUGAGAGGGGGAUCGGCCACACUGGAACUGAGACACGGUCCAGACUCCUACGGGAGGCAGCAGUAGGGAAUCUUCCGCAAUGGGCGAAAGCCUGACGGAGCAACGCCGCGUGAGUGAUGAAGGGUUUCGGCUCGUAAAACUCUGUUAUUAGGGAAGAACAAACGUGUAAGUAACUGUGCACGUCUUGACGGUACCUAAUCAGAAAGCCACGGCUAACUACGU